GGUAGUCCACGCCGUAAACGAUGAAUACUAGGUGUUGGCAUCCAAAGGAUGUCGGUGCCGUCGCAAACGCAAUAAGUAUUCCACCUGGGGAGUACGUUCGCAAGAAUGAAACUCAAAGGAAUUGACGGGGACCCGCACAAGCAGUGGAGCAUGUGGUUUAAUUCGAAGCAACGCGAAGAACCUUACCAAGUCUUGACAUCCCGAUGACCGGCCUGUAAAGAGGCCUUCUCUUCGGAGCAUUGGAGACAGGUGGUGCAUGGUUGUCGUCAGCUCGUGUCGUGAGAUGUUGGGUUAAGUCCCGCAACGGGCGCAACCCCUAUUGCCAGUAGCCAGCAGGUAAAGCUGGGCACUCUGGCGAGACUGCCUGGGAUAACCAGGAGGAAGGUGGGGAUGACGUCAAAUCAUCAUGCCCCUUAUGAUUUGGGCAACACACGUGCUACAAUGGCGUAAACAGAGAGAAGCGAAGGAGCGAUCCGGAGCGAAUCUAAAAAUAACGUCUCAGUUCGGACUGCAGUCUGCAACUCGACUGCACGAAGCUGGAAUUGCUAGUAAUCGCGAAUCAGCAUGUCGCGGUGAAUACGUUCCCGGGUCUUGUACACACCGCCCGUCACACCAUGGGAGUCAGCAACGCCCGAAGUCAGUGACCCAACCUUAGGGAGGGAGCUGCCGAAGGCGGGGCGGAUAACUGGGGUGAAGUCGUAACAAGGUAACC
rnacentral:rRNA from 1 species